rnacentral:miRNA from 1 species
GUGGGAAGAGGGGUGGGGCCCGGGA